ACGAACGCUGGCGGCGUGCUUAACACAUGCAAGUCGAACGGUGAAGCGCCUUCCUUUUGGUGGGUGUGGAUGAGUGGCGAACGGGUGAGUAACACGUGAGUAACCUGCCCCCUUCUUCUGGAUAACCGCAUGAAAGUGUGGCUAAUACGGGAUAUUCUGGGUCUGUCGCAUGAUGGGUCUGGGAAAGAUAUUGUUUCGGUGGGGGAUGGGCUCGCGGCCUAUCAGCUUGUUGGUGGGGUGAUGGCCUACCAAGGCGGUGACGGGUAGCCGGCCUGAGAGGGUGGACGGUCACACUGGGACUGAGACACGGCCCAGACUUCUACGGGAGGCAGCAGUGGGGAAUAUUGCACAAUGGGCGCAAGCCUGAUGCAGCGACGCCGCGUGAGGGAUGGAGGCCUUCGGGUUGUGAACCUCUUUCGCCAGUGAAGCAGGCCUGCCUCGUUUGUGGGUGGGUUGACGGUAGCUGGAUAAGAAGCGCCGGCUAACUACGUG
rnacentral:rRNA from 1 species